CUUCACUAUUUCUAUUUAUUAAGAAACACAUGUCAAGCUUUUAAGCACAAGCCUUUAGAUCAAAAUGUACGAAAGAGGAUUAGGACCACUGACUUUUUUUUUUAACAGUCGGCCUACUAUUAAAUGUUGUUACUGCGGAGGAAGAGGAUGUGGAGAUAUGAAAGACUUAACAUGGGAGAAGAUCCAGAUCAAUUACAGUGUAGUUAUAGCCUAUACAUUUAGGAAAAGGCAGAAUUAUUGGCAAGGACAUUUGUUAAAUUCCAUAGUCACGAAAGUUUGAGUAAUGAGGAAAGGAGUGAAAGAGAGGAAAACAAUAUAAAGAAAUGUAGAAGCUUUGCAGGAUGAGAGGGAUGAUGAUUCAAUAUGUUGUUGACUUUAUUUAACAGAACUGUAUCAAGCUUUGAAUAAAUAUAGAAAAACAUCACCAUGGAAGACAUCAGGUCAGUGACUGUUUGUUAAUCAAAUCAAGUGAUAAGGGCAAAUAAAUAUUUACAUUUAUUUAAAAUAAUAAGAUAUGGGAAGAGGGAUGUUUACCCUCCCAUUGGAAAGAGUCAUGAAUUGUCCCCAAAUGCAAACCAGGCAAUGAUUCAAGUUCAGCAGAAAGUCAUAAACCAAUUGUAUUGACAUCUUGUGUAGGGAAGAACUAUGAAAACAAUGAUACAUGAAUGAUUCAAAUCUAAUGUAGAGAGUAAGGGACUUUUAAAGGAUUACCAAAGUGGAUUUAGGACACGUUUAGGUUUACCAGGUCUGUCCGGCAGCCUGCCCCACCACCUGAUCCAUCUCGCCUCCAGGUGGGAAUCAGCUGCUGACAGCUCUGGCUCCUCUCUUCACUGGAGUGUCGAGAUGUGAAGAUAUAACUACACAGUCCAUCAUCGAUCUUUAAUCUGAGUUGUUACGGUACCAGGUACACUUACGAUCAUCCCAGUACACAACAAAAGAAAGACACUUAUGAAUGUAGGCCUACGUGGGUGUGACGAGAUGAAAACGAAACCAAACACAGGGGUGUCAUGUGAAGUUUUUUUCUACGGAGCUUUUCAAUAUAAAGUGUGAUCUCUAGUCUCUAUUUUCAUUUUAGCCACGCAGAUAAAAUGAAGAGAGCCCAGUAAAGUUACAGAAGACAGCAGCAUAAAGAGAGGCAACAGGACUUCAAGAGCCCAGUAAAGUUACAGAAGACAGCAGCAUAAAGAGAGGCAACAGGACUUCCGCGUCAAGAGCCCAGUAAAGUUACAGAAGACAGCAGCAUAAAGAGAGGCAACAGGAUGUCCC